CGGUGUGGCUUAGCGGGUAGAGCAGUGCAUUCGUAAUGCAAAAGUUGCAGGCUCGACUCCUGUUUCCGCCA
rnacentral:tRNA from 1 species